GAUGAAGAACGUAGCGAAAUGCGAUAAGUAAUGUGAAUUGCAGAAUUCAGUGAAUCAUCGAAUCUUUGAACGCACAUUGCGCCCUUUGGUAUUCCAAAGGGCAUGCCUGUUCGAGCGUCAUUUGUACCUUCAAGCUUUGCUUGGUGUUGGGCGUUUUUUGUCUCCCUCUUUCUGGGAGACUCGCCUUAAAACGAUUGGCAGCCGGCCUACUGGUUUCGGAGCGCAGCACAUAUUUUGCGCUUUGUAUCAGGAGAAAAGGACGGUAAUCCAUCAAGACUUCUACAUUUUUAACUUUUGACCUCGGAUCAGGUAGGGAUACCCGCUGAACUUAAGCAUAUCAAUAAGCGGGGA
rnacentral:misc_RNA from 1 species